rnacentral:lncRNA from 1 species
AGGCAGUGCUUUGAAAAUAGACAGAUGUCACAUUACUUAACUCUCCCACAGAAGCCUACGCUUGCAGGUUGUGUGUGUUUUUCAGGCCUGAAGGAAGGAUAAUCAUCUUAAUGUUUUUCAUGAACAGAGUUGUCACUGGGGGCAUGGGCCUGUGCCAGGAUGGAAUGCUUGAAGUCGUCAUGGACUGCAUGAUCUCAGGUUAUCUUUGGAAUUGGGAUUGUUCAGUUGAAAAACAGAAGGCUUUGACCUUCCAGUACUUGAGAAUAGCCGACAAGAACGAUGGAGAGAGACUGGUUGCAAGGGCUUGUAGGGGCAGGACAAAGGAAGUGGAUUCAAACUGAAGGAGAGUAUAUGCAGAUUAGAUAUUAGGGGAAAAUUCUUUGCUUUCAGGGUAGUGAGGCACUGAAAAAGGUUGCCUGGAGAAGUUGUGGAUGCCUCAUCCCUGGAAGUUUUCAAGACCAGGUUGAUUGGGGCUCUGAGAAACCUGGUCCAGCUAAAGGUAAUCAUGUCCACUGAAAAGGGGUUGAAGCUACAUCUUUAUGGUCCCUUUUCAACCCAAGCCAUUCUAUGAUUUUAUAGUUCUAUGAUAUAAAUUAAAAUUCAUCUUAGUUUAAAAAAUGUAAACGUUACAAAUAUGAAAAUUGUACAUUUAGUUGAAGCUUCCACUUUGAUGC